AUGGAGACCCUUCUGGAAACGAGACUCCGAGAAAUAACCCCAAAACGAAUGCACCCGCGCCGCCGCCCCUCCUUGCCGAAAGGGGCUUUCGAUUUGGAGCUGUCAGCUCGGCAGACGCGGCGAGCCGUCGCUUAUCGAGCUGCAUCUUGUACGGAACAUCUGGCGGAGCAGCUUCAAAGCGGCGGAGGAAAGUUGCGCAGGCACCGCUUGCCCCUCCCUCCCCACGACGCUCCGGCAAGACCCACCGCGAGAGUCGGAGAGCGAAGCGCACGACAGGAUGAUAGAAUCGCUUCUUCCCCAGGAUUCCCGCAUAGGAACACCGCGGCGUGUUUCACCCCGGUUUGGACCAAGCCCCUGUCACGAAAUAAACAGAUUGCUUCUCCAUUUGGGGUGUGUUUUGCGGGGUGGGGAAUUGUCGUAUGUGGUAUAGGCGGAAGAGGCAUUUCCCUUCCCACCCCCCCACCUCUAAUUUUUAAAAGAGGAACGGUAAGGUGUCACCCUCCCUUCCUGGUCUAUCUGUAAUUGAAUCUAGGUCAGUAUUCUAAAGCAAGAAAAGUAUGCUUCUGACUUUCCUACAUCAGCCUAGAAUUUAGGGGAGGGAAAGGGAGGGGGUUCCUUGCAAUUUCAUUUAAAAUGUAAUGGUGGAUGAACUGAUAAGCAAAUGUGGGGGAGGGGGCCACUGCUUAAAAGAAAAAAAAAUGGCACGGUUUUAAUAUGCUUCCAGGUGGGGGGAAAUGAUUUACAUGGGAGUUUAUUUCCUCUUUGCUGAUAUGAAAGAAUUACAGAUACAAAACCCACUGAUCUAUAGAAUAAAAAAAAGAAAAGAAAUGUUAUUUUCCUGUAAAGGUAUCAGUUCAUUUAUAUUCAUUUAACCAUCCAUCCAUCAAUUUAGUUUCUCACUCCUUGCACAUACUCCUUAGCUCUGUUAAAGCUUCCCAACCAAUAUACUUUUCCAGAAUAUACAAUGAAGUUCCCACUUAAAAAAAAAUAAAAAUCAUGGGCUGAAGUAGGUAAAGAUGAGACCAUUUCCACCCUAGGGGAAACUAACACACCCAAACACACAUUCCCCCCUCUAGAGAGAAUGAGCAGGGCUGAAGUUGAAUCAGUUGCAUUCAUUCAUAUACUGUUUAUGAAACUGAUUCACCUUUACCAAUACUCAUUCUCAAUAUAGAAAUAUGUAUGGUAUAAGCACCCCUCUUCAUAACAUUCAUUUUGUUGAUAAUAGACAUGAUUAAUAUGCAUCAUGCAUUUAUAUUGUAAAUGUAAGAUUAAUAUUCAAAUAUAUAGUACAGUACAGUAUUAUACACACACACAAUGGGAUCGUGUUGUUUAUAUUUGCACACCCAUUUUAUACGCAUAUACAUUGGGUGAUAUGCAUAUCCUGACUUAUUAAAAUCAGUGAAUUUGAGUGUCCAUUCAUGCCAGUGAGUCAACUCUGAGUGUCACUAACUCUGAAUAAUCACCCAGUAUAUUUAUAUUGUGUUUAUUUUCAUCAUUAAACACAACAGCUAUACUGCAGUCAACACAAUGUAAAUGUGCGUAUUUAAUCGUUAAUGAAAUAAAUGAAAGUGUUAUUUUUUUUCAUUUAGAAAGAAAAAAUUAGAUUAGAGUCUCAUAAGAAUUGUCCCAUCUGGUUUUAAAAUCGGUAAGAGAUUUUAGCUGGGUUGGGGUGGGAGGAAUUGAGAAAGAGAGAGACACUUUGCUCUUUGUAAAUAGUAUUAAAGAAUGCAAGGCCAACCCCUUUCUUCCCAUCAGCGGAACAUCCUAACAUUAAAGUCAAGCAAGACCAUUAUAGAAAAGCUCAUUCUUAUCUUUAGCGUCUGCACAUUUGGUCAAGAUAUGGAGUGCUUUAAAGGGCUUUUCUCCAGUGUUUGACUCUGGCAGGCUUACUCAGGUGAGAGGUUUCAGGAAAGGAAGUGGGAUUAUUC
ensembl:lncRNA